rnacentral:rRNA from 1 species
CCUACGGGGGGCUGCAGUGGGGAAUAUUGGACAAUGGGGGCAACCCUGAUCCAGCCAUGCCGCGUGUGUGAAGAAGGCCCUCGGGUUGUAAAGCACUUUCAGUGAGGAAGAACGCCUGGUGGUUAAUACCCAUCAGGAAAGACAUCACUCACAGAAGAAGCACCGGCUAACUCCGUGCCAGCAGCCGCGGUAAUACGGAGGGUGCGAGCGUUAAUCAGAAUUACUGGGCGUAAAGCGCGCGUAGGUGGCUUGAUAAGCCGGUUGUGAAAGCCCCGGGCUCAACCUGGGAACGGCAUCCGGAACUGUCAAGCUAGAGUGCAGGAGAGGAAGGUAGAAUUCCCGGUGUAGCGGUGAAAUGCGUAGAGAUCGGGAGGAAUACCAGUGGCGAAGGCGGCCUUCUGGACUGACACUGACACUGAGGUGCGAAAGCGUGGGUAGCAAACAGGAUUAGAUACCCCUGUAGUC